AUAAUACUCCCUCCGUCCCGAAAUAAGUGACUUAAAAAUGACUUAAGUUUGUACUAACUUUAGUAUAAACUUGAAUCGUUUUUGAGUCACUUAUUUUGGGACGAAGGGAGUACAAU
rnacentral:pre_miRNA from 1 species